GCUGGGUGUGGUGGUGCACACCUAUAAUCCCAGCUACUUGGGAGGCUGAGGUAGGAGAAUCGCUUGAACCUGGGAGGCAGAGAUUGCAGUGAGCCAAGAUUGCACCACUGCACUCCAGCCUAGGUGACAAAGCAAGACUCUGCCUCAA
rnacentral:SRP_RNA from 1 species